CCUACGGGAGGCAGCAGUAGGGAAUCUUCGGCAAUGGGCGAAAGCCUGACCGAGCAACGCCGCGUGAGCGAUGAAGGCCUUCGGGUCGUAAAGCUCUGUUGUUAGAGAAGAACAAGUACGAGAGUAACUGCUCGUACCUUGACGGUACCUAACCAGAAAAGCCACGGCCUAACUACGUGCCAGCAGCCGCGGUAAUACGUAGGUGGCAAGCGUUAUCCGGAAUUAUUGGGCGUAAAGCGCGCGCAGGCGGUCUCUUAAGUCUGAUGUGAAAGCCCACGGCUCAACCGUGGAGGGUCAUUGGAAACUGGGAGACUUGAGUGCAGGAGAGAAAAGUGGAAUUCCACGUGUAGCGGUGAAAUGCGUAGAGAUGUGGAGGAACACCAGUGGCGAAGGCGGCUUUUUGGCCUGUAACUGACGCUGAGGCGCGAAAGCGUGGGGAGCAAACAGGAUUAGAUACCCUGGUAGUCCACGCCGUAAACGAUGAGUGCUAGGUGUUGGGGGGUUCCACCCUCAGUGCUGAAGUUAACACAUUAAGCACUCCGCCUGGGGAGUACGACCGCAAGGUUGAAACUCAAAGGAAUUGACGGGGGGCCCGCACAAGCAGGUGGAGCAUGUGGUUUAAUUCGAAGCAACGCGAAGAACCUUAC
rnacentral:rRNA from 1 species